GACGAACGCUGGCGGCGUGCUUAACACAUGCAAGUCGAGCGGUAAGGCCCUUUCGGGGGUACACGAGCGGCGAACGGGUGAGUAACACGUGGGUGACCUGCCCUCAGCUCUGGGAUAAGCCUGGGAAACUGGGUCUAAUACUGGAUAUGACUCCACGGUGCAUGUCGUGGGGUGGAAAGCCUUGUGCGGCUGAGGAUGGGCCCGCGGCCUAUCAGCUUGUUGGUGGGGUGANGGCCUACCAAGGCGACGACGGGUAGCCGGCCUGAGAGGGCGACCGGCCACACUGGGACUGAGACACUGCCCCAGACUCCUACGGGGGG
rnacentral:rRNA from 1 species